UACGGGGGGGGGCAAGCGUUGUUCGGAAUUACUGGGCGUAAAGGGUGCGUAGGCGGUCUGUUAAGUUGGAUGUGAAAACUCUGGGCUCAACCCAGAGCCUGCAUCCAAAACUGGCAGGCUAGAGUUCUGGAGGGGGUAGCGGAAUUCCUGGUGUAGCGGUGAAAUGCGUAGAUAUCAGGAGGAACACCGGUGGCGAAGGCGGAUCUCUGGGCCAUUACUGACGCUGAGGAGCGAAAGCGUGGGGAGCGAACAGG
rnacentral:rRNA from 1 species